GAUGAAGAACGUAGCGAAAUGCGAUAACUAAUGUGAAUUGCAGAAUUCAGUGAAUCAUCGAGUCUUUGAACGCACAUUGCGCCCCCUGGUAUUCCGGGGGGCAUGCCUGUCCGAGCGUCAUUGCUGCCCUCAAGCGCGGCUUGUGUGUUGGGCUCCGUCCCCCCGGGGACGGGCCCGAAAGGCAGCGGCGGCACCGAGUCCGGUCCUCGAGCGUAUGGGGCUUUGUCACCCGCUCUGUAGGCCCGGCCGGCGCCAGCCGACAACCCAUCAUCCUUUUCAGGUUGACCUCGGAUCAGGUAGGGAUACCCGCUGAACUUAAGCAUAUCAAUAAGCGGAGGA
rnacentral:misc_RNA from 1 species